rnacentral:misc_RNA from 1 species
AAAAAAAAAGUUCAAUCUUUGAAUUUGAUCAAAACCAGACCGAUUUGGAUCGAAACCAAAAUUGGAACCGAUGAGGACCCUGCAGUCGGGUCCCAAUCCCUCCAAACCUUGGACGAGAACCGGUGGCCACCCUAAAUAUACCUCUCAUGGCAUAUCUUCUCUACUGAUUUUUGGAAUGGUGUUGUGGGUCAGGUCCUCCAGGACUCGCUCGUUUGGAAUUAAAAUGGAUUUUCUUCAUGCCUUCAUUUCCCUGCCUGACAUUGUAAACUUCACUCUCACCCAUUUUCCGAAUCGACAA